CUAUGCUUCGGCACAACUGUUAAAAUUGGAAGAGUACAGAGAAGGUGAGCAUGGCCUCUGCGCAAGGAUGACACGCACAAAUCGAGAAGUGGUUCCCAAUUUC
rnacentral:snRNA from 1 species